GCGGAUAUAGCUCAGAGGCAGAGCAGUAGGCUUCCACCCUAUGUGCGGGAUUUCGAUAUUCCCUAUCCGCUCCA
rnacentral:tRNA from 2 species